rnacentral:tRNA from 1 species
UCGUUGUUCCUCAGUGGUAGAGCGGUCGGCUGUUAACCGAUUGGUCGUAGGUUCGAAUUCUACUUGAGGAGA